rnacentral:rRNA from 1 species
AAAGCACUUUUAUCGGGAGCGAAAUACCAUUGGCUAAUAACCGAUGGGGCUGACGGUACCCGAGGAAUAAGCACCGGCUAACUUCGUGCCAGCAGCCGCGGUAAUACGAAGGGUGCAAGCGUUAAUCGGAAUUACUGGGCGUAAAGGGUGCGUAGGCGGUUAGUUAAGUCUGUUGUGAAAUCCCCGGGCUCAACCUGGGAAUGGCAAUGGAUACUGGCUAGCUAGAGUGUGUCAGAGGAUGGUGGAAUUUCCGGUGUAGCGGUGAAAUGCGUAGAGAUCGGAAGGAACAUCAGUGGCGAAGGCGGCCAUCUGGGACAACACUGACGCUGAAGCACGAAAGCGUGGGGAGCAAACAGGAUUAGAUACCCUGGUAGUCCACGCCCUAAACGAUGCGAACUGGAUGUUGGUCUCAACUCGGAGAUCAGUGUCGAAGCUAACGCGUUAAGUUCGCCGCCUGGGGAGUACGGUCGCAAGACUGAAACUCAAAGGAAUUGACGGAAUCACUA